AGUGAACGUUGGCGGCGUGGAUUAGGCAUGCAAGUCGAGCGAUCGUAGCAAUACGGGAGCGGCAAACGGGGUAGGAAUACAUCGGAACGUACCUUUUGGUUGAGAAUAGCGUUGGGAAACUGACGGUAAUACUCAAUAAAGUCGAGAGACCAAAGGUUUACUGCCGGAAGAGCGGCCGAUGCGAUAUUAGGUAGUUGGUGGGGUAAUGGCCUACCAAGCCUGAGAUGUCUAGGGGGUGUGAGAGCAUGGCCCCCACCACUGGGACUGAGAUACUGCCCAGACACCUACGGGUGGCUGCAGUCGAGGAUCUUCGUCAAUGGGCGAAAGCCUGAACGAGCGACGCCGCGUGCGGGAUGAAGGCCCUUGGGUUGUAAAACCGCUGUCAGGGGGGAUGAAACCGUAAGGUUGACAGAGCCCCAGAGGAAGCACGGGCUAAGUUCGUGCCAGCAGCCGCGGUAAU
rnacentral:rRNA from 1 species